CCCCUCUUUCUCUCCUCUCUGCCUCUCUCUCCUCUUCUUUUUUUCAUUUUGGCUUCUAUUCAAAUGUGGGUCAGGGGUGAGCGGCUCCCAACGUCACAAGCUUGCAAGAUGGCGCUGGGAGGAAGGCUGUGAGAUGAGGAACAGGCUGGUAUAAACCGAGAGGACAGGAGAGGGAGAGGAGGAGGAGAGGGGAAGGGGAAGAAAAGCUGCUGCUCCAGAUGCAAUAAGAAGGAAGCUAUUCUGUACUGAAUCAGCAUGGGAUAGAGUGCCUAGAAGACGUUCAGACCAAGCACAGCUAGCGGUGAGUAGGGCAGUAUACACUGGGAUGCCCUAUUGCAACUAUAA
rnacentral:lncRNA from 1 species